UCCUCGGCCGCAGAAUAAACCAGCCCGCAGCCUGGAACUAGGUCCGUCCUCCUUUCUGGGCGAAAGGGAGGGAGGGAGGAGGGGAAGAGGAGGUGCAAACGCCAAUACUCCUCGCAAUUGGGCUCCCUCGCCGCCGAGAGCCGGAGUUCUGGACGCCGCCCAGCUGGUCUGAGGGCGCGCGGGAGCCCCGUGGGGAGCCGAAGACAGGCGCCCGCUCUGUCCCCCCGCCGCGCCGCGGCCCCGGGGCCUGAGCGGUCAGAGAAGGGCCUGGCCUGGCACCGACGUAGGCUGGCGGAGCGCGGGGCGGUGGACGGCGGCGUGCAUCGAACAGGAAGUGCACAGUCGGCCGCGCCGCUCUCCCGCUCCCCCCGCCGCCCCCGGGCCGCUGCGCGCUGUCGCCUGCCCCGCGGGCCGGGGCUCCCCUCCCUUGCGGCCGCGGCGGCGCGGGACUGGCUCGGAGGUGGUUGGGCCCCAUCUGGUCCCCGGGGUGUCUGUUUCUGCCUCACCCCCUGAAACACGCACGCGCGCACUGUGCUCCGCAGACCCCGCAGCGGCGGAAGCGCGGGUCUCGGCAGGAUGAGCGCUGACCCGCGCGUGCUUCUUGGAAAACCUUUGCCCCGGGGGUCCGCCCCGCCGGCGCGCGGACUUGAAUGCGUGCUGGGAGCGGUCCGUGUCGCCGGCGGAGUGCGGGUUUUCACCCCACCGCCCCGUACCCCUCCCCGGCCGGCUUUUUUCACCAAGGGAUCCGCAUUAAGCGCCGGGCGCGGAGUCAGCAACCCGCGCCGCCACGGGAAACACGGAGUUUCUAAGACUGAGAACCAAGUGGUGGGGGAGGGGCUGGAAACCCCGGGCGAGCCCCCACGUGCUGCCACCCGCUUAGCCACCCAGUUGCCGGGGCCUCGCGGGGCGAGGCACCUCCCCGAGCCCAGGGCCCCUGGGGCGUUCUCCGGUGUCGCUGUGGCCUCCUUGGGCGGAUUCCAGGAUGGGGUAACCCUGGCCCCCGGCUGGAAGUCAAGGGUCUAUCCCAAGAGACUGGAUAGAGUUCCCCUCUGCAGUGCAGCAGACCUCAUGGCUUAUCCAUUGGCAAUGUGCGCAUGUACCGACCCCAACCUGUUUUGCACAAGUCUCCACUUGACUGUUGAGGAACCUGGAUCAGAAUGACCUUGGACGAGCGAUUCAACACCUUAGCUGCCUUGGUCUCUGGACCUGUGACCCAGGGUGUGAGAGAACAGAGGUCUGUGUAGUGCGGACACUCGUGACUCAAUUCUGUGCAUGAGGCACCUUUGGGAAAAUGAAACCGCAAUGUCUGACCUGAGGACUGUGAAUGCUCUGAUCAUAACUCAGUGGAUUCCAAGCGAAUGGGGGUGUUAUCUAAUCGUGAAAAGCAGGCUGAGAGUCACAGUCCAGUUUUUAUUUUCCUUUGCACUUGACCACUGAUUGUGUAACCUUGCCAUAGCAUUUGCUCCCUGGUGCAGAGGGAGCCGUUCAUAUCCACCCAUGCAUCGAAGUGGAGGCAGAUGCCUGGGACCCAAGCAUGGGGCAGGCUGGGGAUAGCACUUCUCCCGACAGCCCUUGUCCUGGUCCCUUUUGACUUUCGGGGGAACCUGUGCAAGCCGCUCCUUUAUUUGCGCUCCAGAUUACUCUUCACCCGUAACUCCAGUUGACUCUAAGGCCUUCCUAGUCGUGGACUCCGAGGAGUGCUUUGAAUUCAGGGAAAGGGAAACGGAGGCAGCAGUCUCCCCAGGACAGACUUGCUGCUCACAUCUUUUCUCCAGAGAAAAGCCUGCUGUCCUGACCAGCUCUGUGCCUGGACACACACCCAGCAGUUGUAAAGAAAUGACACAUUCAGCAGAGCACAGUAUGUGUGACCCGCAGCGCUCUGCGGGGGUGGGGUGGGGGUGUCUGUUUGCUAAAUAAAAGGGUAGGUAAUCCUAGCAAUUAUUCUCCCUUCCUUGGCCAAGGAUGGUUGUCACGCAAACAGCAUUAGUUGGGAAUGAAGCCUUUCGUACCGCCACUGGCUGCUUUCAUAAUUGUUUUACAGAGUUUCCCAUGCUGACUUUUGCCCUGGUGAUUGGGCUUUACCUCCCAUCAGAGUGGUGGGUUUGAGCUCCCUGGGCUGCAGAAUUUAACUAAAGGUCUCUUGUGGUGGUUCUCGACUUAGUCCUGAGCGUUGAAUCUGCUGUAAGGCUGGGAAAUUUGGAAUAUACCGCCGUUACCUGAAUAUGGCUUGGACUGAUGUCUGACCCCCUCCCCACCCCCCGCUAACCUAUGUGUUUCAGAUGGGAUUAAAUCAUGCAAAUUAAUUGUAAUAAUUUCCUGAGCAAAUAAAAUUACUUUGGUCAUCCGA